GAUGAACGCUGGCGGCGUGCCUAAUACAUGCAAGUCGAGCGAACAGACGAGGAGCUUGCUCCUCUGACGUUAGCGGCGGACGGGUGAGUACCACGUGGAUAACCUACCUAUAAGACUGGGAUAACUUCGGGAACCCGGAGCUAAUACCGGAUAAUAUAUUGAACCGCAUGGUUCAAUCGUGCAAGCCGUUUUUGCUGUCCCUUAUUGAUGGAUCCACGCCGCAUUAGCUAGUUGGUAAGGUAACGGCUUACCAAGGCAACGAUGCGUAGCCGACCUGAGAGGGUGAUCGGCCACACUGGAACUGAGACACGGUCCAGACUCCUACGGGAGGCAGCAGUAGGGAAUCUUCCGCAAUGGGCGAAAGCUUGACGGAGCAACGCCGCGUGAGUGAUGAAGGUCUUCGGAUCGUAAAACUCUGUUAUUAGGGAAGAACAAAUGUGUGAGUAACUAUGCACGUCUUGACGGUACCUAAUCAGAAAGCCACGGCUAACUACGUG
rnacentral:rRNA from 1 species